rnacentral:lncRNA from 1 species
GAAUUUUUGUUUUCUUUUUAAAUUAAACCAGAUAAGACAAUUUAAGAUUUCCUUGAGUGGAAAAAUACAGACUUCCAAUCUAGAUUAAGCCCUAAAUCAACAGCCUUCAUGUUUUUUUUUCAUUGUGGAUUUCAUGGGAAUCCUUAAGGCAUCCUGAGCCAUGACUUACUUCUGUUUUAUUGUCUUGGGAGAGCAGAUACCUUUGAAAACUAGUAAUGCCAAAAAAAUGAGAGAGCAGUAACUAUCCUUUUCUAACUCCAGUCAUGUGACCGCAUGCAAUUUCUUUAUAUUUCUCAAAGAUAACACCUGUUAAUUUAAAAAAAAAAAAAGUGAUACAUCCCUAUCUUUUUCUUUUAAGUAACAUUCCGAUUUUUGUUUUUAACUGCCUAGUGUGUUUGAAGGUUUUGUUGAGGUGUAGUUUUGUUUCUUCUCUUGUCUCGGAUGUGUUCACAGACAAGACCCACAGCCCUCUGCUUGGCAGCUCCAGCUUACAUGGCUUUCAGGCCUGUGAAAGGCACGUGCAGCUUUCUCAGAUGCUGACUAGUGAAUAGGGUGAGGAUGUUCUGACCCUGAGGGCAGGACACUGGUGCUUUUCAGAAUUGGUGACUCACUUUCUGACAACCUUCAUUUUUACUGUAUAAGCAAUUUCAAGAGUCUCUAGUGCUUAAGGUUUGGCACCAACUCUGAAGGGCAGCAGAACAACCAAACUCCAGCUCACAGGUAGUACAAACACUACUCUAUGUUAACCUCACCAUCUUGGCUUUUACUCCCAAGAGAUUUAAAUACUUUGCCUUUUUAGUCACUAUAAUUCUCAUUUGAAGGGGAGAAAAUUCGUUUUUUUAGAUGCCCACUUACAGAUAACUAGAUUUUUUUCAAUAUCUAAACUUUUUAACAUGAGAAAGAUGGCUGUAUCUUAGAGAUUACCAAAAAGACUUGUUUUCAUCAGGUAAUUAAAAGUAAUAGAGAUGACAAUGUGGUUUUUUUUAAGUCCUCCAAAACUAAGGUGCUCCUACCCACAGAUGGCAUAUCUUGCAAAGGGCUAAGAACUGUUUUGGGUUCCUUCUCUCUGUGUUACUUUGAUGUUAUAAAUAGUGCUGAAUUUGUCUAAACAGAAUUGAGAGGUCAUAGAAAUCCUUAACAGGGUAACAAUUCCAAGGUUUCCGAACCUGGGUGUUAGUGUGGACUCGUUCAUCAGACUUUGAACAGAACAUUUUGCCACCUUUGCUACUCAAAACCAAUUUUAUGUUGCCAACACAGGGCAGUGUUGAAGCAAGUAAAAAAAAAAAAAAAAAAAAAAACCAUAAUUUCGCGUAUCUUCAGAAAUCAGAAAUAGCAUUAUAACUGAUGUAAUCCCAGACUUUACUGCAAUUUACUAAUUAAAACAAUGGUCCUGUGUGGGUAGGUGACAAUUUUUGAUAAAACAGGUAUUACUAUUUUUGUUAUACAUGAAAAUGGCUUUCUUUUUUUAAAAAAUCCCUUUCAAAUUAAAAAUACCUUUUGGAGU